rnacentral:rRNA from 1 species
GACGAACCGUCCGAACGUUAUUCGGAAUUACUGGGCGUAAAGCGUGCGUAGGCGGUUCGUUAAGUGCGUCGUGAAAGCCCCGGGCUCAACCUGGGAAUGGCGAUGGAAACUGGCGGGCUGGAGUAUGGCAGAGGGGGGUGGAAUUCCGCGUGUAGCAGUGAAAUGCGUAGAGAUGCGGAGGAACACCGAUGGCGAAGGCAGCCCCCUGGGCCAAUACUGACGCUGAGGUGCGAAAGCGUGGGGAGCAAACAGG